UGGAUCAGCUGACUGUCAGAUGGGGGCUACCUGCUUAACUCUUGCUGCUACACUGGCAGGAACAACAAGGGUUAAGAGCAGAAGGAGAAACACACGCUGUCCGUUCCCUUAGUUUGUCGAAGAAGAUGGUUCUAAUCGCUGGUGCCUCAUUACACUGCCUGGGCUUACUCUUCUUUCAGCUUUAACUCUGCUAUGCCAAAACUUUCAUGCCAACUUUAUUUCUCUCUCUUUCUCUCUGUUGGAAGAAUAAAUUCACUCAUUCAUUGCCAGGAGGCGUUGCUAGUGCUCUGGUAGCAGAAGGGUUACACACUGGGUCUGCCUGGGAAUGGCGGUGCUGGUUCUCUAAAACACCAAUACGUGGGUAGAAGAGAACACAGCUUUUCAAGUCAUUGAGAUACACCAGAGGAAAAUACACAGGGAUGCUAAAUAAAGCACAGUUCCUUUCAACUUGGUCUUCAGGUUGUGUUCAUUUAUCAUGUCAACUCCCAGGAUGCCUGCACCAAGGCCUUGUAGCCAUAUGUGUGAGCACACCUGCUAUGUGUGAGAUUUGCACUGUAGAAUUUCCAAGUACGUACACCAUUCCCGUAUUUCAUUAAAUUAUGUAACAACUGACACUCUUGUUGUCUGGAGAAUUAGCGUGCCCAUACCAGGAUGAAGAUUGGUUACAGACUGAGUUGGAAUGCAAAUAUGCCUUGCGUUUAAGAGUUUUGCUAAAAAGCAAAUUAUUAGACAUCACUUGCAAUUUCUGUACAGAUCUCCAAUGCAAUUUUCUCUGCAGUGCAGCUGGGAAUUUGGUGGAGUGCCAUAGGGGAUUUAUACACAUAUAAAAAAGACUUGCUUCUUCUGGUCUGCUGAUUUACCCUGAAAAUGCUAAAGCAAAUUUUUAGCCAGCCCGUCUAAAUAACUGUAAGGGGAAAAAUACAUCAAGAUUUGUUCUUCAAUUGUCCAAGAUAUAAGGACAUUCAGGUUGCAUUUCUGUAAUUUUUAAGCUGUAGCUACUUUAUGUCUUGCCAUUAAAGAAGUGUUUUUUGUAAACAUAAUGAAACAUAA